rnacentral:lncRNA from 1 species
AAAAAACUUAAGUCCCAUAAAGAAGGCAGAAACAUGUUUUUGGUUGAUCAAGAUGAGUUUGGGCCAAAUAUAAGGAGGCUGCUUCACUGGAGGGAAUCACAAAGCCAUCUGGGGCAGGAAUGUUGAUGGUGAAGUGACUUCCCUGCUAAAGCUCGCUUGCUGGGAUCCGGAUGCCUCUGCAGAGACAAAGGUGGUUCAGAGUUCAUGGGGAAAAGAGGCAGGGUUUGUGGCUGAGAAGCGGUGCCAAUGGGGAGAGUGGCAGUGUCCAGAGAAAGCCAUCAAUAGUCAGUGGAUCCUUGUGAUCCAAUAUUCAGUGGACAGAGGGUUAGAGGGGCUGUGUUUUUUCCUCCAUCAUUGAAACCAGGACUGAAGAAGGGCCGCAGAGGUCCUGUAAAGGCACAUUCAGAGAAGGAGUAGAUGAGGGAGCCAUGGUCAGUGAUGUUGUAGAAGGAGACCAUGCCAGCCUCAUAGUCCAGGAAAAUCCCAACUUGGCAUGGAGGCACCUGAAGGUGGAGGGGAGUCUGGGGGUAGGUGCCAGCCUCAUAUUUUUGUUUGUUCCACAACCAAAUUGUCCAGAAGCCACUCUUGGAACUAAGCAAAAAGUGCCCCUUCCUGCGCACAGAGUCUCUGCAGACACCCAGGUCCCAGGCCUCCUUUCCUGUCACAUCUACCUCCCAGUAAUGUUUUCCAGAGUGAAAGUGCUGGGCACCCAGGACCAUAGGAUAACUAUCAAAUCUCUCUUCAUUUCCAGGUAUGCUCUGCUGGGUGUCUCCAAGCCUCACUUGUCUCCGAUCUUCUGAAAGUAUCAGCCACGGAUUGGCUGUGUCUGGAUCCAGAGUGAUGUGGACUGCAGAGAGAGGACCACAGUCAGGCCUUGCAUGGGGGGAGUUCACUAAGUCUGUGCCUGUGGUGGGGGGAUUUUGUGUAAACUCCAGGUUGCCAUCCAGGCUCCCUGACCCUGGGAUCUACUCUGCACCCCAUUAUCCCCCGCAAAACUAGAACUUGCCUCACCUGCACAUGUCCUCAGCAUCUUCUUCAGCCCUGGCACAUGGCACACACUCCUGAGUUCUGGAGAGGUAAUAUCCAGGUCCUUCAGGUUCCAGGACUCAC